AUGGAAGGAUUCAUGGAGGAGGUGCAGAAGGCAUGGCAUGGAACCUGCCCUCGUGGAAAGCCGAUUGCUGUCUUCAACAGGAAGAUGAAGGCUACUGCCAAGGCACUAGCAAAAUGGAGCGCCCAACUCUGCAACAACAUAGCACUCAAAACAGCUAUCACAAGUGAACUGAUCAUGAGACUGGACACGGCCAUGGAUCGGCGCCAACUCUCAGAGGCUGAACAUGAAUUUCAGAAUGCAUUGAAGAUGCAAAGGUUAGGUUUGGCGGCAAUGGAGAGGUCGCUCUGGAGGCAGAGAUCCAGAGUUCUAAGGAUAAAAGAAGAUGAUGCAGGCACCCGGUUCUUUCGCGCCAAAGCAUCCGCAAGGUGCCGAAGAAACUACAUCCACAGGAUUGUUCAGGGAGACAUCAUACACACUGACCAAGAAGCGAAGAUGGAUGCUAUCCAUAGCUAUUUUGAGGAGUUUCUGGGAACAAGGAUGCCAAGGAAUCACACCAUCGACCUUUCUGCGAUAGGCAUUGAGAGCUCUGAUCUAGCAGACUUGGAGACCCCCUUCACUGACGAGGAAGUGCUAGCCGUAGUAAAGGACGUUAAUGGAGACAAAGCCCCGGGGCCAGAUGGAUUCACAGGACUAUUCUAUCAGCAAUGUUGGCACAUCAUCAAACCUGAGCUAAUGGCAGCGAUCAGGGCAGUCGAACAAUUAGAUGCCGCACAACUCCGCCCCUUAAAUACUGCAACGAUGAUUCUGCUCCCAAAGCGAGAAGAUGCUGCUGGACCAAGGGAUUUCAGACCAAUAUGCCUCGUUGAUAGUUUCACCAAGCUUUUUGCGAAGAUUUUGGCCAGCCGCUUGCGUUGCAGGAUGGACGCACUUGUCAGACCUUGCCAAAACGCAUUCAUUAAGGGCAGAAAUAUACAUGAUAAUUACAUCUAUGUCAGAGGGAUUGCAAGGGCGCUACAACAAGCAAAGACCCCAGCCAUGAUGAUCAAGCUUGACAUCGAAAAAGCAUUUGAUACGGUGUCAUGGGAAUUCUUGCUGGAAGUUUUGCAGGCGAAGGGGUUCGGCAGGAAAUGGUUGAAUUGGAUUUCAAAUCUGCUUGCCACUCAAUCCACUCGGGUGCUCAUCAAUGGGCAACUUUCCGAGCCAAUUAUUCAUAGAAGAGGUUUGCGCCAAGGCGACCCAUUAUCACCGCUCCUCUUCGUCAUCGUCCUGGACUGCAUGGCAACAAUGUUCGCCAAAUCAUCUCAAGUAGGGAUUCUAAAGCCCAUUGGCAACCAGAGAUUGGCCUACAGAACAUCCCUAUACGCCGACGAUGCAAUUAUAUUCAUAAACCCAGACAUCCAAGAGAUGAAGGCUGUUCAGGAUAUGCUAGACGCCUUUGGUACAGCUUCAGGAUUGCGUACAAACUAUGGAAAGAGCUCAUUAACACCUAUCUGCUGCGGAGGGAUAGAUAUGGAAGCAAUUGCCGGGGAGCUGGGCUGCCCGAUCAAGCACUUUCCUUGCACAUACCUGGGCAUGCCUCUCUCUGACUGCAGGAUCACUAGAGCUGACUGGCAACCGGCGCUGGACAAGGUCUACGGCAAGAUGAAGGGAUGGAAAUUAGCUCACUUCUCCAUGGACGCCCGGCUGAGCCUAGUGCAACAGGUCCUCUCGGCCAUGCUUGUCUUCCAAAUGAUCGCCAUCGACCCUCCGGUCUGGCUACGUAAAGCUAUUGAUAAGGUCCGAAGAGGAUUCCUUUGGGAGAGCAAAGAGGUCGCCUCGGGCGGGAAAUGUUUGGUAAACUGGAGGGCCGUAUGCAGACCGCGAGAGCUCGGAGGGCUCGGCAUCACCAAUAUUGAGGCACAGAGCACAGCGCUUAGAAUGAGAUGGCUUUGGCAAACAUGGACCGAACCUGAAAAGCCAUGGCUGGGCUUGCCAUUGCCCACGGAUGAGCGUGUAAGGGCACUCUUCAAUGCAUCAGUGAAAUUCCAUCCUGGAAACGGCAAGAAGAUAAGCUUUUGGACGGAACCUUGGCUCCUAAGUGCAAGUCUGAACAUUUGCCUCCCCGAACUCUACAAACACUGCACAAGAAAGAAGCUCACGGUGGCAGAAGCAAUCGGCGAUGCAAGAUGGACAAGACAUAUCAAAGCAAACCCCUCAGGCCAGGCCAUCCAGGAG
rnacentral:rRNA from 1 species